AUAAAUAAAUCUUAUAAAAAGUAAAAUUGAAAUAAUACAGAGAAGAUUAACAUGGUCCCUGGGCAAGGAAAACACACACAUUUGUUAAGUAUUCCAUGUUUUU
rfam:Mustela putorius furo unplaced genomic scaffold scaffold00059, whole genome shotgun sequence.